GUGUAGAUUGAAGACUAAAUAGUAUUAUUUGCUUCUUUAAAUUAGUGGCGUUUAGUGACUAAGUGUCUAGAGCACCGAAAUUUUCCGAAAAAGUGUCUGCCCUAUCAACCUGAUGGUAGUCUGUUAGUCUACCAUGGUUAUUGCGGGUAACGGAGGAUGAGAAUUCGACUCCGGAGAGGGAGCCUUAGAAACGGCUACCACAUCCAAGGAAGG
rnacentral:ncRNA from 1 species